AAGACCAUAGUUUCAGGGACCAUUCCUAUAGUUUAUUACUAGAGAAGUUUCUCUGAAUGUAUACAACACUUGAAACCACAAGGAAGGGGUACAGUGUUCUCUCCUGAGUGUGAAGCUGGGUUUUGGCGUUGCUUUUGCAGCUGUAAAUAAUCGUUGGUGAUUGUUCUCUUCCUUUGGGGGAGUAAGAAGGAGGGGAUGUAGUCUGAGUGGU